GUGGGGAAUUUUGGACAAUGGGCGAAAGCCUGAUCCAGCCAUGCCGCGUGCAGGAUGAAGGCCUUCGGGUUGUAAACUGCUUUUGUACGGAACGAAAAGACUCCUUCUAAUAAAGGGGGUCCAUGACGGUACCGUAAGAAUAAGCACCGGCUAACUACGUGCCAGCAGCCGCGGUAAUACGUAGGGUGCAAGCGUUAAUCGGAAUUACUGGGCGUAAAGCGUGCGCAGGCGGUUAUAUAAGACAGAUGUGAAAUCCCCGGGCUCAACCUGGGAACUGCAUUUGUGACUGUAUAGCUAGAGUACGGUAGAGGGGGAUGGAAUUCCGCGUGUAGCAGUGAAAUGCGUGGAUAUGCGGAGGAACACCGAUGGCGAAGGCAAUCCCCUGGACCUGUACUGACGCUCAUGCACGAAAGCGUGGGGAGCAAACAGGAUUAGAUACCCGGGUAGUCC
rnacentral:rRNA from 1 species